UCAAUUCAAUGGGCCCCCUUUACGGCCAGGGCUACACCACGUACUACCAAUGGUGGGGACAGAGGGCUGCGAAGCCGCGAGGCGGAGCCAAUCCCAGAAACCCCAUCUCAGUCCGGAUUGGAGUCUGCAACUCGACUCCAUGAAGUCGGAAUCGCUAGUAAUCGCAGAUCAGCAUUGCUGCGGUGAAUACGUUCCCGGGCCUUGUACACACCGCCCGUCACACCAUGGGAGUCUGUUGCACCAGAAGCAGGUAGCUUAACCUUCGGGAGGGCGCUUGCCACGGUGUGGCCGAUGACUGGGGUG
rnacentral:rRNA from 1 species